GGGGAAUAUUGCACAAUGGGCGAAAGCCUGAUGCAGCGACGCCGCGUGAAGGAUGAAGUAUUUCGGUAUGUAAACUUCUAUCAGCAGGGAAGAAAAUGACGGUACCUGACUAAGAAGCCCCGGCUAACUACGUGCCAGCAGCCGCGGUAAUACGUAGGGGGCAAGCGUUAUCCGGAUUUACUGGGUGUAAAGGGAGCGUAGACGGCUUUGCAAGUCAGAUGUGAAAUCUAUGGGCUCAACCCAUAAACUGCAUUUGAAACUGUAGAGCUUGAGUGAAGUAGAGGCAGGCGGAAUUCCCCGUGUAGCGGUGAAAUGCGUAGAGAUGGGGAGGAACACCAGUGGCGAAGGCGGCCUGCUGGGCUUUAACUGACGCUGAGGCACGAAAGCGUGGGUAGCAAACAGGAUUAGAUACCCUGGUAGUCCACGCUGUAAACGAUGAUUACUAGGUGUGGGGGGUCUGACCCCUUCCGUGCCGGAGUUAACACAAUAAGUAAUCCACCUGGGGAGUACGGCCGCAAGGUUGAAACUCAAAGGAAUUGACGGGGGCCCGCACAAGCAGUGGAGUAUGUGGUUUAAUUCGAAGCAACGCGAAGAACCUUACCAGGUCUUGACAUCCAACUAACGAAGUAGAGAUACAUUAGGUGCCCUUCGGGGAAAGUUGAGACAGGUGGUGCAUGGUUGUCGUCAGCUCGUGUCGUGAGAUGUUGGGUUAAGUCCCGCAACGAGCGCAACCCUUGCUAUUAGUUGCUACGCAAGAGCACUCUAAUAGGACUGCCGUUGACAAAACGGAGGAAGGUGGGGACGACGUCAAAUCAUCAUGCCCCUUAUGACCUGGGCUACACACGUACUACAAUGGAUGUUAACAGAGGGAAGCAAGACAGCGAUGUGGAGCAAACCCCUAAAAACAUUCUCAGUUCAGAUUGCAGGCUGCAACCCGCCUGCAUGAAGAUGGAAUUGCUAGUAAUCGCGGAUCAGCAUGCCGCGGUGAAUACGUUCCCG
rnacentral:rRNA from 1 species